GAACUACAGUUCCGCUCCUCUAGCACACAGAGGUCAAUUGGGUGCGACCCCCCCCUCUCCCGUGGGUCAACGGGAACC
rfam:Eggplant mosaic virus (EMV) 3' terminus tRNA-like structure.